UAGGGAAUAUUGGACAAUGGGGGCAACCCUGAUCCAGCAAUGCCGCGUGAGUGAUGAAGGCCUUAGGGUUGUAAAGCUCUUUUACCCGAGAUGAUAAUGACAGUAUCGGGAGAAUAAGCUCCGGCUAACUCCGUGCCAGCAGCCGCGGUAAUACGGAGGGAGCUAGCGUUGUUCGGAAUUACUGGGCGUAAAGCGCACGUAGGCGGCGAUUUAAGUCAGAGGUGAAAGCCCGGGGCUCAACCCCGGAACUGCCUUUGAGACUGGAUUGCUUGAAUCCUGGAGAGGUGAGUGGAAUUCCGAGUGUAGAGGUGAAAUUCGUAGAUAUUCGGAAGAACACCAGUGGCGAAGGCGGCUCACUGGACAGGUAUUGACGCUGAGGUGCGAAAGCGUGGGGAGCAAACAGG
rnacentral:rRNA from 2 species